UACGUAGGGUGCGAGCGUUGUCCGGUAUUAUUGGGCGUAAAGAGCUCGUAGGCGGUCUGUUGCGUCGGCUGUGAAAACCCGGGGCUCAACUCCGGGCCUGCAGCCGAUACGGGCAGACUAGAGUUCGGCAGGGGAGACUGGAAUUCCUGGUGUAGCGGUGAAAUGCGCAGAUAUCAGGAGGAACACCGGUGGCGAAGGCGGGUCUCUGGGCCGAUACUGACGCUGAGGAGCGAAAGCGUGGGGAGCGAACAGG
rnacentral:rRNA from 1 species